rnacentral:misc_RNA from 1 species
GAUGAAGAACGUAGCGAAAUGCGAUAAGUAGUGUGAAUUGCAGAAUUCAGUGAAUCAUCGAAUCUUUGAACGCACAUUGCGCCCCUUGGUAUUCCAUGGGGCAUGCCUGUUCGAGCGUCAUUUGUACCUUCAAGCUCUGCUUGGUGUUGGGUGUUUGUCUCGCCUCUGCGUGUAGACUCGCCUCAAAACAAUUGGCAGCCGGCGUAUUGAUUUCGGAGCGCAGUACAUCUCGCGCUUUGCACUCAUAACGACGACGUCCAAAAGUACAUUUUUACACUCUUGAUCUCGGAUCAGGUAGGGAUACCCGCUGAACUUAAGCAUAUCAAUAAGCGGAGGA